UCUGAACCAGCCAAGUAGCUGCAGGAUUGACGCCAUGGGUUGUAAACUGCUUUUGUUGGGGAGUAAAGUGGGGCACGCGUGCCUUUUUGCAUUAACCCUUCGAAUAAGGACCGGCUAAUUCCGUGCCAGCAGCCGCGGUAAUACGGAAGGUCCAGGCGUUAUCCGGAUUUAUUGGGUUUAAAGGGAGUGUAGGCGGUCUGUUAAGCGUGUUGUGAAAUUUAGGUGCUCAACAUCUACCUUGCAGCGCGAACUGGCGGACUUGAGUGCACGCAACGUAUGCGGAAUUCAUGGUGUAGCGGUGAAAUGCUUAGAUAUCAUGACGAACUCCGAUUGCGAAGGCAGCGUACGGGAGUGUUACUGACGCUUAAGCUCGAAGGUGCGGGUAUCGAACAGGAUUAGAUACCCUGGUAGUCCGCACGGUAAACGAUGGAUGCCCGCUGUUAGCGCCUGGCGUUAGCGGCUAAGCGAAAGCAUUAAGCAUCCCACCUGGGGAGUACGCGGCACGGUGAACUCAAAGGA
rnacentral:rRNA from 1 species